GAAAGAUGACCACCUCAUAGAUUGGUUUUCUAAGUCUGUUUUUUUUUUUUUCUCUAUUACUUCAGUCACACUUCUUAAAGUUUAUUUCUGUGACCCUUCUCAUGAAUAUAUUGUGUUUAAAUUUUAGCUAUUAUAUUUUAGCUCUUUAUUCUCUGAAUGUUUCUUUUUAGUGGAAUUUUGUUCUUGUUUUAUGGAUGCUAUAUUUUGUCUUAAUUCUUGGAGACUAUUAAUUAGGUUUGUUUACUUUUCUUUGUGCUCUUUGUUUUUUCUGUUAUUCUUUUUUCUGCUUGUUUGUUCGGAUCUUCAUCUAACUUGCUGGAGUUUUCCUCAGAUGUUUGGUGAUCCUUUGGUAUCUGCUCAUUUUUUACACUGAGAGACAAAGAAACCUAUUGGAACCUUUGUGUGGGGAGGGGGGGUUUAUCAGUACCCCUGCCUCUGUCUGUGAUGCUCCCAGCCCCUGAGGGGUAUGCAGAGCCAAGGAGCUCACACUUCUUUGGGAUUCUCUCUGUAGCCCAUCAGGUUGUAGCAUUCUUGGCUCAUUCUUUAUGUGCAAUCGAUUACUGAGUUUCAUUGCUGUCUGUCCUCCAGGCACAUAUUGAGCUCUUGCCUCUCAUUUUCUGGUGGGCUUAUACAUAUUUUACUGUUUUUCCUUACUGGGAUAUUUUAAGGGAGAGGAGAUGAACAUGAAUGGCCAAGCCACUGUUUUCCCCCCAAAAAACCUUGCAUAAUUUGCAUCUUUGUAUACAACAGAGUGCACAAAAGGUUCAUUUUAAUGAGCUUAAAUAACAUUUUCAUAGCUUUGUUAUUUUUAAGAAAAUCUGUUUCCUCCAUAGAUAAACUUGAGUGUUCAUCCUAAUUAUCAUAUAUUUUUAAUCUGUUGGAGAUGAAUUAGUAAGGUUUCCCUGGCAAUGGUAAGCUAGUGAAAAAAAAGGGAAUUUAACUAUUUUUGGAUAGCCUUGAGGAAAGGAGUUGAGGAGAGUGUUCACCAAGCAUGGUUCCAUGAUUCAUCAAUACACAGUAAGAUGAGUUCAUUUUAGUUCAUUCCUGUACCUCUAAGCACCAUUCCAGGAAAAAUCUCAGUUUCCCCUCUUUGAAGAGCAUUUCAAAAGGUUGAACUUGACCAUCUGGGUGCUGAGAGACUUUUGCUAAUGUUGACUCUCAAUAUUUAGGUCUUGAUCUUUGGCUCUCAGUACAUUAAUUGAACUCCAUUUGGUUUGCAAAAAGCUGCCCCAGGAUUUUCCAGCUGAGAUAAUGAGCCUCUGAAAACAACCCCACGCUAGAAUGCAGGCAUCCUCUAUUCAAGUGGACAUCACCUGCUGUGGGGAUGGGAGAAGGGGGAGAGAGGAGGAUUCACAGAGCAGCCCUGCCCUUCUUCCUCAACACAUGCAUGGACUUUUACUCUCCUCAGUGGAGGAUGGUUUCAUGGCACGGAGAGCUGCAGAUACAUUUAGACAACACCUACUUGGACAUCCAGGUCCCGUGUCUGUUGACAGGUACUUUCUUCGUUCCAAAACAAAACUAGAACAGGAAUUUUCACAUUGGUGGUCCAUUCGACCUGGUUGAGAUGUCUUUCUUUUUCUUAUAUUUCAAUGUUUUAGCAAAUAGUUCUGACCAUCCAGGGUUUUUGCUAGGUCCCGAUCUGCAGCGGUUGCAGGGUUCUUGUCUUGGCACAGCUUCUGGUCAGGUAGGGAAUGUGUACAAGUAACUGGGCAUUCCAAAACAGAACUCUAAAAGGUGAUGCAGGUGAGGGGCACCUGGGUGGCUCAGUCGGUUGGGAGUCCGACUUCGGCUCAGGUCAUGAUCUCACCGCUCAUGGGUUUGAGCCCUGCGUUGGGCUCUGUGUCUCCCUCUCUGUCUGCUCCUCCCCUGCUCACACUCUGUCUCUCUCUCUCUCUCUCUCGGAUAAAUAAACAUUAAAAAAAAUUUUUUUUAAAGAUGAUGCAGGUGGAAAGGAUGCUCCAGUAGCUCCUUUGCAGGAAUACUACCUAAUCCAAAGUUCUGAUUUUUGGAAGGGGGUGGAUGGUGACAACGGGGAAUGAUUGUCAGAAGAAGUGAUGUCUGUGCUGAGACGCGAAUAAUAAACUAGAAGUUAGCCAGGUCAAAGUUUGGGGAAGGGAGACAAAUCGGGUAUUCUUGGCAAAAGAGACAGUAUGAGUCUAGGCACCGAGGCAAGAAAAAACAUAGUUCUGUUAAAGAAUCGGAAGAAGUUCAGUCUCUUUGGAGUACUCUCUAAGAAGAAUGUGUCAAGAGUCUACAGAGGUGGUCACAUUCAGAGCUAAGCCCCUUUAUGUUUAGGACUUUAUUCUAGGUGGGGUCUAUAGCAGGGGAUUGACAUCACAAAGACCCCUCUGGCUUCAUAGUCAAGCAUGGUCUGGCUGGGGGAGCAGUCAGAGGGUUGCUGCAGAAAUUGAGCAUGGAGAAAUCGCUCACUGCGUCCAGAAUGGCAAUUGCACAGAUGCUGGUCACAGCUGCCCGUGUCACUCUUGAAGCCUUAACUGAAGAAUGUUUAAUGAAGGGACCAUUUACAGAAGAGCAGGCUGUGUUAGAAGAACCAGCAAUGGAUGGAGAAGCACCCAGGUCUUAGCAACUGGGAAGCUGCUUCCACCCCAGGGACCGAGGAGAAGAGAAAGUUUCUGUGAGCUGGUGAGGACGGGAGCCCUGGGAGACAGAGGCCCAGGGAGGAUUGGGAAUAGGUCAGCAUCCCUAAUCUUCCUCUGUCCCGCCCUAAGGUCUCCUGUUCUUGCUUCUGAGUGGUUGCUGACAACUGGAAGGCAGAGUCUAGGGAGCCUGAGUGAUGUGCUUAGUACAUCGAGUUUUACUCUUGGAGCACAGAGCAAGGCAGAGAAGGGCAGAGAAUGAAUCUGGAGAAAGCAGAGACAGAAAAAAUAAAAUCGCAAAAAGUGUACUUACGUUCUGUCUUUUCGAAAAUAGGUCUGAUGUAUAUACAAGUGACAACUAUACGAAAAACAUGGCUACCUCGAACACCUCGUUAGUGACUGAACCUAUAUUUAUACGGCCCUGCUUAAUAAAAGGUGCUGUAGGGGCACCUGGAUGGCUCAGUCGGUUAAGUGUCUGACUCUUGGUUUCGGUUCAGGUCACGAUCUUGCAGUUCUGGGGUUCAAGCCCCGCGUCAGACUGUGCACUGACAGCACAGAGCCUGCUUGGGAUUCUCCUCUCUCUCUCUCUCCCUCUCUCUCUCUCUCUGCCCCUCCCCUGCUCUCUCUCUCUCAAAAAUAAAUUAAAAAAUAAAUAAAUAAAUAAAUAAAUAAAUGGUGCCAUGCCUCUUCUAGAAUUUUGAUCAAGAUUUCUUUUAGCCUCGGUGAUGCUCAGAGGAAAAGACCGCUUAUUUGUCUCAAGCUGGAGGUGCGGAAGGGAAGUGCAGCAGGGAGUGGCCAGGGUGGCUGAGCUGAGAAACGGCUUUCACGAUGGACUGUUGUCCUCUCCUCAGAGAGCAGGGGCCAGGGGGUGUGUCCUCUUCCAGUACGACAAAGCUGGGGAGUCAGGUAGGAGUGCUGCCGUCACCCUGCCCCGACCUGAUUCUAACAGUGACACAGCCAGAGGCAGACGAAGAUGUGAAGAGAGGAAGGGGUAUGUUUGAGCAGUAACCAUUCAUCAGUGGAAUCAAAACUGCAAAAUCUUUUUAAUGUUGUCUCAUCUAAAAUGCCAACUCACUUACCCUUAAUAGACACACUUGCAGUUGUAACGUGGUGCUUUUUUUUCCCUCUAGGAGAAAGCUCUCUCCUCCACUUCUGUUAGGAAACACACAGUAAGGGCCAAGUACUGCAAUUUGUUUUCGUUUCCUGUGCUAUUAAAUAUUCAGGCAAUCAGGAAAUGUUUCCUCAUGUUACCUGGAAACAAAACACUAGAUCCAGAAGUUCCAAUUCUUGGAGCUAGUUUCUCAAGCUCUCUGGCAAUAUUUUUUUAUUAGAGGUGUUAUGCAAUCUUGAAAAGAUGAUUGAUUUUCAGGCCUGUCCAAUCUGGGUUUCAUUAUUAGCUUUUCUACUCAUGAUCUGGGUGACUUCAGUCAAUUUACUUAUCUUCAUUGAAUUUUUUAAAUAUAUAAAAUUAGGGUGAUAGUAUUUUUAUGAAUGCGUAUAGAAUUUUAAGAAUUAAAUAAGUUGAGGGUGCCUGGGUGGCUCGGUUGGUUAAGCAUCUGACUUCAGCUAAGGUCAGGUCAUGAUCUCACUGUUUGUGACUUCGAGCCCCGCAUCGGGCUCUGUGCUGACACCUUGGAUCCCGGAGCCUGCUUCAGAUUCUGUGUCUCCCUGUCUCUCUGCGCCUCCCCUGCUCGUGCUCUGUCUCUCUCUCAAAAAUAAAGAAACAUUAAAAAAAAUUUUUUUAAAGAAUUAAAUAAGUUGAUAUGUGCCUAAUGCCUUACACCUAAGUAGGCACUUAGCAAAGACAAUCUCCUCCCAUUUACCUCUUUUUUUCUGUUCUAGAAAUAUCUAUCUCUCAUAAGAUCAGCAAAGGAUUCUUUCAGUGGCAUGACGACACAUUAAGAAUUUUUUAAUAGUUUUAUUAAGUGCUGGGAAAGCCCUGGGUAAAAUAUUGAGUUGAGAAGGUGUAACACAGCUGUUUGGACAGAUGAAAACCACAUUGUGACUUUUAUAUGUUUCUGUCUGAUUCUGGAGCUAUAGUAGCUGACAGUUUGAAGAACUGGGUCAACGUGCAAAUAGUAUCUUUAGAUUAAUUUCUCCAGGAAAGACGGAGAAGGGCUUGAAUCACUAAGGGGGUGGAAUCCUACCACAGCCACAUACAGUUUUAUAGAAAUGUUCCAGUAAGUCUUGAUGGCAGGAUUCUCUAGCCUGCUGUCAGGUAUGUAGGCAAGGAGAGUGACAGAUAAAACAGCGUGCAUGAGCCAGAGAAGGAAUUCGAACCGACAUAUUUCUGCUGAUGCCAUAGUCAUCCCAGGAUCCUAUUGACUUCAAGUUGUAUUAGGUUUCCAGCCUUCACAAAUCCAUUAUCAUCAUGUUUGUGUACAUGUUGUUCAUGGGUGGCCCACGAUACAGAAUGUGUGUUGUAGUCAAUUUUUUUUUCUAGUUCUACAGAUUUUUCUACUGUGUUCCUUCCAUCUUUUCUUGGACAAUCCUUCAUAAAAUGAGAAGUGUACCAUUUGGAGGCAGAUGCUUACAGCUUUUGGUGUCAUGGAGGAGAGGAGAACUAACUAGUCAUAUCAGCACUGAGCUAAGCAAACUAACCAAACCUCUGUUACAAACUAGUGUUCAGAGCAGCUGAGAACUAAGGAGAUGUGGUCUUAGAAGUCUGCGUGUUGGGGCUCCUGGGCAGCUCAGUCAGUUAAGGGUCCAACUUCAGCUCAGGUCAUGAUCUCUC